UCCCUGGUGGCUCAGAUGGUAAAGUGUCUGUCUGCAAUGCGGGAGACCCAGGUUCGACCCCUGAAUUGGGAA
rnacentral:tRNA from 1 species